AGCGUACACGGUGGAUGCCCUGGCAGUCAGAGGCGAUGAAGGACGUGCUAAUCUGCGAUAAGCGUCGGUAAGGUGAUAUGAACCGUUAUAACCGGCGAUUUCCGAAUGGGGAAACCCAGUGUGUUUCGACACACUAUCAUUAACUGAAUCCAUAGGUUAAUGAGGCGAACCGGGGGAACUGAAACAUCUAAGUACCCCGAGGAAAAGAAAUCAACCGAGAUUCCCCCAGUAGCGGCGAGCGAACGGGGAGCAGCCCAGAGCCUGAAUCAGUAUGUGUGUUAGUGGAAGCGUCUGGAAAGGCGCGCGAUACAGGGUGACAGCCCCGUACACAAAAAUGCACAUGCUGUGAGCUCGAUGAGUAGGGCGGGACACGUGGUAUCCUGUCUGAAUAUGGGGGGACCAUCCUCCAAGGCUAAAUACUCCUGACUGACCGAUAGUGAACCAGUACCGUGAGGGAAAGGCGAAAAGAACCCCGGCGAGGGGAGUGAAAAAGAACCUGAAACCGUGUACGUACAAGCAGUGGGAGCACGCUUAGGCGUGUGACUGCGUACCUUUUGUAUAAUGGGUCAGCGACUUAUAUUCUGUAGCAAGGUUAACCGAAUAGGGGAGCCGAAGGGAAACCGAGUCUUAACUGGGCGUUAAGUUGCAGGGUAUAGACCCGAAACCCGGUGAUCUAGCCAUGGGCAGGUUGAAGGUUGGGUAACACUAACUGGAGGACCGAACCGACUAAUGUUGAAAAAUUAGCGGAUGACUUGUGGCUGGGGGUGAAAGGCCAAUCAAACCGGGAGAUAGCUGGUUCUCCCCGAAAGCUAUUUAGGUAGCGCCUCGUGAAUUCAUCUCCGGGGGUAGAGCACUGUUUCGGCAAGGGGGUCAUCCCGACUUACCAACCCGAUGCAAACUGCGAAUACCGGAGAAUGUUAUCACGGGAGACACACGGCGGGUGCUAACGUCCGUCGUGAAGAGGGAAACAACCCAGACCGCCAGCUAAGGUCCCAAAGUCAUGGUUAAGUGGGAAACGAUGUGGGAAGGCCCAGACAGCCAGGAUGUUGGCUUAGAAGCAGCCAUCAUUUAAAGAAAGCGUAAUAGCUCACUGGUCGAGUCGGCCUGCGCGGAAGAUGUAACGGGGCUAAACCAUGCACCGAAGCUGCGGCAGCGACACUAUGUGUUGUUGGGUAGGGGAGCGUUCUGUAAGCCUGUGAAGGUGUGCUGUGAGGCAUGCUGGAGGUAUCAGAAGUGCGAAUGCUGACAUAAGUAACGAUAAAGCGGGUGAAAAGCCCGCUCGCCGGAAGACCAAGGGUUCCUGUCCAACGUUAAUCGGGGCAGGGUGAGUCGACCCCUAAGGCGAGGCCGAAAGGCGUAGUCGAUGGGAAACAGGUUAAUAUUCCUGUACUUGGUGUUACUGCGAAGGGGGGACGGAGAAGGCUAUGUUGGCCGGGCGACGGUUGUCCCGGUUUAAGCGUGUAGGCUGGUUUUCCAGGCAAAUCCGGAAAAUCAAGGCUGAGGCGUGAUGACGAGGCACUACGGUGCUGAAGCAACAAAUGCCCUGCUUCCAGGAAAAGCCUCUAAGCAUCAGGUAACAUCAAAUCGUACCCCAAACCGACACAGGUGGUCAGGUAGAGAAUACCAAGGCGCUUGAGAGAACUCGGGUGAAGGAACUAGGCAAAAUGGUGCCGUAACUUCGGGAGAAGGCACGCUGAUAUGUAGGUGAAGUCCCUCGCGGAUGGAGCUGAAAUCAGUCGAAGAUACCAGCUGGCUGCAACUGUUUAUUAAAAACACAGCACUGUGCAAACACGAAAGUGGACGUAUACGGUGUGACGCCUGCCCGGUGCCGGAAGGUUAAUUGAUGGGGUUAGCCGCAAGGCGAAGCUCUUGAUCGAAGCCCCGGUAAACGGCGGCCGUAACUAUAACGGUCCUAAGGUAGCGAAAUUCCUUGUCGGGUAAGUUCCGACCUGCACGAAUGGCGUAAUGAUGGCCAGGCUGUCUCCACCCGAGACUCAGUGAAAUUGAACUCGCUGUGAAGAUGCAGUGUACCCGCGGCAAGACGGAAAGACCCCGUGAACCUUUACUAUAGCUUGACACUGAACAUUGAGCCUUGAUGUGUAGGAUAGGUGGGAGGCUUAGAAGUGUGGACGCCAGUCUGCAUGGAGCCGACCUUGAAAUACCACCCUUUAAUGUUUGAUGUUCUAACGUUGACCCGUAAUCCGGGUUGCGGACAGUGUCUGGUGGGUAGUUUGACUGGGGCGGUCUCCUCCUAAAGAGUAACGGAGGAGCACGAAGGUUGGCUAAUCCUGGUCGGACAUCAGGAGGUUAGUGCAAUGGCAUAAGCCAGCUUGACUGCGAGCGUGACGGCGCGAGCAGGUGCGAAAGCAGGUCAUAGUGAUCCGGUGGUUCUGAAUGGAAGGGCCAUCGCUCAACGGAUAAAAGGUACUCCGGGGAUAACAGGCUGAUACCGCCCAAGAGUUCAUAUCGACGGCGGUGUUUGGCACCUCGAUGUCGGCUCAUCACAUCCUGGGGCUGAAGUAGGUCCCAAGGGUAUGGCUGUUCGCCAUUUAAAGUGGUACGCGAGCUGGGUUUAGAACGUCGUGAGACAGUUCGGUCCCUAUCUGCCGUGGGCGCUGGAGAACUGAGGGGGGCUGCUCCUAGUACGAGAGGACCGGAGUGGACGCAUCACUGGUGUUCGGGUUGUCAUGCCAAUGGCACUGCCCGGUAGCUAAAUGCGGAAGAGAUAAGUGCUGAAAGCAUCUAAGCACGAAACUUGCCCCGAGAUGAGUUCUCCCUGACUCCUUGA
rnacentral:rRNA from 1 species